GGGAAGGUAGCUCAGUGGUAGAGUACUUGCCUUGCAUGCAUGAGGCCCUGGGUUCGAUUCCUCAGCACUUACA
rnacentral:tRNA from 1 species